rnacentral:lncRNA from 1 species
CUGCCCCAGGUUUGCCUGUCAGAGCACUGAAUGAUCACUUGGAUCUGCCAACUUCAGUUCCUAGAGGCUGAACCUGGAAGGCUCGGCCCACUCGGAGCCCCCGCUAGGGGGCGCACUCUGGCUGUGGCUCUAAGCUGAACCCGACAAGGGUGCUGCUUGCUGGUGGGGUGAGGGGUGACGACUGGCGGGACUCAGACAGCUGGGGGUCCCUCAGGCCUCCGGAAAAACGCUUGAGUUGAGUCCUUUGCGGCUCCAUCCCAAUGCCCUCCUGCCCCCACCCCCACCGUUCAGAGAAAAAACUGUAUGCGGACCCCUCCAGCCUGGAUGCACACCCGGGGUCCUGAGGUCCGGUUGGUGAUGGAGAGAAGAAAGCAGAUGGCGGCGAUUAAGGGGCUGAGAAGUUUCCCUCUGGGAUCUGGGAACCUGGGUGGUGGGAGAGCAGCAGCAGAUGGGAACCUCCUGCCAAGGGACUCCGGUGAGGAGCCCAGAACCC